rnacentral:rRNA from 1 species
CCCUUAGAUGUUCUGGGCCGCACGCGCGCUACACUGAUGCAUUCAACGAGCCUAUCCUUGACCGACAGGUCCGGGUAAUCUUUGAAUCUGCAUCGUGACGGGGAUAGAUUAUUGCAAUUAUUAAUCUUCAACGAGGAAUGCCUAGUAGGCGCAAGUCAUCAGCUUGCGUCGAUUACGUCCCUGCCCUUUGUUCACACCGCCCGUCGCUCCUACCGAUUGGGUGUGCUGGUGAAAUGUUCGGAUCGGCCGUUUGUCGCGGUUUCCGCGGCUCGUGGCUGAGAAGUUCAUUAAACCCUCCCACCUAGAGGAAGGAGAAGUCGUAACA